AGAGUUUGAUCCUGGCUCAGGAUGAACGCUAGCUACAGGCUUAACACAUGCAAGUCGAGGGGCAGCAUGGUCUUAGCUUGCUAAGGCCGAUGGCGACCGGCGCACGGGUGAGUAACACGUAUCCAACCUGCCGUCUACUCUUGGACAGCCUUCUGAAAGGAAGAUUAAUACAAGAUGGCAUCAUGAGUCCGCAUGUUCACAUGAUUAAAGGUAUUCCGGUAGACGAUGGGGAUGCGUUCCAUUAGAUAGUAGGCGGGGUAACGGCCCACCUAGUCUUCGAUGGAUAGGGGUUCUGAGAGGAAGGUCCCCCACAUUGGAACUGAGACACGGUCCAAACUCCUACGGGAGGCAGCAGUGAGGAAUAUUGGUCAAUGGGCGAGAGCCUGAACCAGCCAAGUAGCGUGAAGGAUGACUGCCCUAUGGGUUGUAAACUUCUUUUAUAAAGGAAUAAAGUCGGGUAUGCAUACCCGUUUGCAUGUACUUUAUGAAUAAGGAUCGGCUAACUCCGUGCCAGCAGCCGCGGUAAUACGGAGGAUCCGAGCGUUAUCCGGAAU
rnacentral:rRNA from 1 species